rnacentral:rRNA from 1 species
GACGAACGCUGGCGGCGUGCUUAACACAUGCAAGUCGAGCGGUAAGGCCCUUUCGGGGGUACACGAGCGGCGAACGGGUGAGUAACACGUGGGUGACCUGCCCUCAGCUCUGGGAUAAGCCUGGGAAACCGGGUCUAAUACCGGAUAUGACUCCAUGACGCAUGUUGUGGGGUGGAAAGCCUUGUGCGGCUGAGGAUGGGCCCGCGGCCUAUCAGCUUGUUGGUGGGGUNAGGCCUACCAAGGCGACGACGGGUAGCCGGCCUGAGAGGGCGACCGGCCACACUGGGACUGAGACACGGCCCAGACUCCUACGGGAGGCAGCAGUGGGGAAUCUUGCGCAAUGGGCGAAAGCCUGACGCAGCGACGCCGCGUGAGGGAU